CGGAGAGUGGCGAACGGCUGAGUAACACGUAGGAACCUACCCUUAAGCCUGGGAUAACGGAUCGAAAGAGCCGCUAAUACCAGAUAUAUCCGCAAGGAGGAAAGCUCCGGCGCUUAGGGAGGGGCCUGCGGCGUAUUAGCUUGUUGGUGAGGUAACGGCUCACCAAGGCGAUGAUGCGUAGCUGGUCUGAGAGGAUGGUCAGCCAGACUGGGACUGAGACACGGCCCAG
rnacentral:rRNA from 1 species